GUUUCCAAAGUUGACUGUCAGGUCCUGGGUAAGCGAGUCUUUUCCGGGAAAGAGAAGUAGUUCAGUCUUGUCGGGGUUGAUUUUCAGAUGGUGGGCGGACAUCCACUGAGAGAUGUCAGUUAGACAGGCAGAGAUCCGAGCCGCCACCUGGGUGUCCGAGUGAGGGAAGGAGAGAAUUAGUUGGGUGUCAUCGGCAUAGCUGUGGUAAGAGAAGCCAUGCGAGCGAAUGACAGCGCCAAGAGAGUUGGUGUAAAGCGAAAACAGGAGGGGACCCAGCACGGAACCCUGAGGAACUCCAGUAGUAAGAGGACAAGGUUCCGACACAGAUCCUCGCCAGGUUACCCGGUAGGUGCGGCCAUCGAGGUAGGACGAGAGAAGGGAGAGAGCAGAGCCUGUGACACCAAGUUCCUGAAGGGAGGAAAUAAGGAUCUGGUGGUUGACCGUGUCAAAUGCAGCAGAGAGGUCCAGAAGGAUGAGGACAGAGGAGAGAGAGGCGGCUCUAGCAGUGUGGAGUUGCUCAGAGACAGCAAGGAGAGCAGUCUCUGUAGAGUGGCCUGCCUUGAAACCUGACUGGUGGGGGUCAAGGAGGUUGUUACAGUGGAGAUAAGAGGAGAGUUGAUUAAAGAGUAGAGAGCGGACGAAUCACAAGGCAGCCAUCUGCUCGUUUUUUGAUUUGAUUUGAAUUUUUACACUGACCUUAUGCGCGGUCGAAGGUUUUUGGGUUAAGUCCCAGCAAAAAGUUAACAAAUUGUGAGAGGAAACCUGGUUUAAAUGUAACGCCGGCGCUGCUGGGACUCAACAUUCCCAUUCAAGGGGUCGACAACCUGUAAAUGCGUUAGCGAUUUCACGCAGCCCUCCAAGCAGCCACCGUUUCAUUUAGAGAAAAACACAAAAAGCUCAAAUCUUUGCUCUCUUCAUCUAAAUCAUUAAGGUCCCUCGGUUCAAACUACACAACAUCUGCAGACAUCUCCGGGCCUGCUCGACCCGCCAGACGGCCUGUCACAUCGUGAUGUUUCGACAAAAGAGCAGCUGGAGUUCACCUGGAGUUCGAGGGAUCGGGGCCGCGCUGUAAAGAUAGUCAAUGCCCUUUAAACCGGGUCACCCUGCGUCAGGUGCGAGGAUGACUCACCCCUCCCUCCCUCUGCAGUGAGCUAUAUUUAGCUCCACAGACGCCCGCCAGCCGGGCACGCGUGGACGGCCCAAAACCAGUGCGGGCCUCGAAAAAAACUAAACAUAAAAAAAAAAAAUAAUGACAAAAAAAAACAAACGGAGGAGACAGCCUGCACACGCACCGAUGCACCGCCAUGGACGCACACACACGAGGACACACGGCAAGACACUAUAAUUAUGCGGAUGACAUUCCGCUUAAUGACGACCUUUUCGCAAACGCAGACAUGGCAAAUUAUACGGGCGAGCGGGAGAACUUCUCCCGAUGCCGCACGCCCAGCGCACGUGCACGCGCCCUGUUUACUGCAAAUGUUUCCGCUCUAAUCAAAUAUCGCCUCCUCACGUGUCCCGCCCCCCCCCCCAACCCCCUCUUUCCAUGAGUCGGACCCGAUCGCCUUCAUUUCCUCGCCCGUCGUUUCUCCGGUCGAUGCAGCGAUGAGCGCUGGGGGGGGACUUCUGGGCGUACGUGUGCUCAUCUUUCCCCUUUCCUCUGCCAGACUGCAGAGGUUAGACGAGGCGAUCGGCCUCCGCAGUCUGUGUCUCGCCAGUAACUGCUGUCAAGCCGCCCCCCUGAGUGUGUCUGUGUGUGUGUGUGUGUGUGUUUGUGUGUGUCUGGGUCUGUGUGAUGUCUCAAUCGAGGGCAGUCUCAGAUUGAAAGCCACCCUGCUCUCGGCCCCGUAAAUCGAGCGUCGGCCUGUCAUUUCCACGCCACCCCGGCGCCCACAGCCGGUCCUGGCAACGCGAUGCGAGUCACCGGGUCCACGGGUCACGCCGCCACGAUGAGGUGGAUCACAUUUCAUUUCAAAAGGAGAGACCUAUGCGCGCUUUGCUACACCUCAAACAGCAGUGCUCAGGCUGCAGGAAGAGUAAAAGUAAAAGGGUGCCGUUAUAUUUAGUUUUUGCUACUCCUCAGAUGCAGCAACCUGCACUUUGCAUUCAUGCACACACACGCACACACACACACACAACAAUGUGGUUUGAGCGAUCGCUCCAUGCGAGCCUGCGGAGGCCAUCCCUGACCCCUGACCUAUAAGGACGAAUGGUGUCAUAUCCGCACGGAUUACAGUACAAAUCAGUUUCAUGGUUUCGUAGACUUAAAGUUGGAAAUUGUGCACGGAUCCGCAGCCCCGACCAUGAAAAACAGGAAGCCGCAACGUCUUCAGAGUCUCCGGGGAAUGUUUGCUCCUCAGAUGACAGACUUCGCGGGGCGGGGCGGAGGAGGCGCGAGCUUUCACAUUUACUUCUUUUCGCUGUCAAGUACGUUGAUUGAGAAAGAACAGGUUCACCUAUUUUGAUGGAUCUCCGCUGAUGCUCGGACAGAUCGGGAGACAUCCCAUCUUUUUUAUAGUAUAAAAACCCAGUGGCUAAAAAAACAUUCCCCACAUCCGGGGGGCCCUCGACCCCCCCACUGCCCGGACGCGUCCUUCCGGUCGGUGAAUGAGCAUCGAUUGUCAGCUGGACGCAUUCACAGUAAAUCGGAGGAGGGGGCUUCGCAGCACAGCCCACCGGUGAUUUCUGGGAAGUGUGAGGACAUUUCCAUGGCAACGGCGGAGGCAUUCACUUGCUACCAUUCAUGUUCAACGUGUGUUUUUUUUGCUUUAAACAUGUUGUUCUUUCAGCCUUAUUACCGGAGCACUUACGGCAUGGAUUAAUUCAGGGGCGGGGGCGGGGGGGGGUUAGAUAAUAACUGAGGGCCACUGAAAGCCGAGUCGAGAGGGAGCAGAGGUGGAAGCUAAACUAACCAGCUGGGAUCUCGGGCUCCACUGUCACAUCAUUGUCGCUCGAACACCAAGUCGCUGGACAGUGUGGAAUGAAAAAACAACACGGCGACGAGUCCUUAAUGCCGCCGAUGGCGACGGGAAGCUUUUCAUUGUCUCGAAAUGAGCGAACGCAGCACAUUUCCCCCCUUUAUGCUCAGGCGCUCCAUACAUCGCACUGUGUGCGCGAGAGGAGGGACCGCGGCAGUUGAAAGACGAGCGCACAAACACGCACACAGUUAGUCUUGUACAAACUUUUAUUGUGCACUUUUUUUUUUUUACUUAAUUCUCUAAUUUAAUUAAAUAUUUCCUAGCCCUUCUCUUUUAUUGUAUUGUGUAUAUAUUGUGCAUUUUUAAUUACAGACUUUGCUACUGCAGAUUAAUAAAGUGUACAUCUAUCUGUCAAUCAGUCCCGCCCUAAACGCUCCUGCUGUCAAUCAAACUCGCUGCUGCUAAAACUGCCACACAACAACCUGUUAUCCAGGUGUGGGUGUAUCCACCUGUUAUCGUGGGCGCACGCGUGUGCGGCGGCUGUGACAUAAGAGAGGCGGACAAAAGCAAUAUUUAACAUUAAAACAUUUAGCGAUUACAGCAUUAUUACACGUGAUAGGAAGAAAAGGGCCUGCGGGGCUGGUUGCAUUAUGCAGCGGCACAGCGGGAGGGACUGAGUGGGUGUGAUGUGCAACACAGAGGAGCUGGAAUGUGUGGGGACAGGAAGAGACAGACAGAGCAGCAAUGCUCAGUGUGUGUGUGUGUGUGUGUGUGGGGGGGGAAAUAUGUGGGAGAAACGCGCUCGCUGCCCACGUGCAGCCUCACGUCCCAGUAUUUUUAGAUCAACCACGCGGACGGAGAGGGUGAACACGCAGUUUACAUUCGUGACCCCGGUGAAGACUUCGACUAACAGAAAAACUGAAUUUUAAUUCAUCUGUGUGUGUGUGCGCGCGCAUGUUUGUGUGUCUGCACCUGGAAGCUUUGGAAAACGUUGGCAUUCGUGUCGUGGGUGUUCGACAGAGUCUGAGCUAAAUUCAACGCGCCGCUCUGCCAAUGGUAAGAAAAUGAGUUGCCAACUGUUGUGAUAAGGGAUUCAAUGGCUGACGUCGAAUAAAACAAAUAUUCAGGUUUAUAUCAUUAUGAAUUAAAUACACACACACACACACGAGCGAGAUGGUCAAUGGUUUGAGAACAGACCUCCUUUAGUGGUGGUAAAUAUAGCGUCGCAAAUGUGGGCCGACCUUGUGCAACAGAAACUGGCUACUGUACUGACAUUUGACAUGGGACGUCCUGUCCCUGGACAGGACACACAGAGCUAAAGCCAACAGGACUAGUUUAGCUUUUUUUUCAAGUGGAUUGAUAUUUCAUUCAAUACGCACUCUUUCAUUUUGUGCCGAGUCAGACCACCGAUAUCUCUUCGCCUCCUCGGGGAGAAAAGGCCCGAGCAGGUGUUUUUACGGUACUCUUCCGUUUUGGCUAAACCACAUCAUGGUGAAUAUUGCCUUCCUUACGGUGCCGCUGUCGUUUAAGGGUCAUUACUGAUUCAAACGUCCCCAAAUGACCGCUGGGGGUGGAGCUGGGGGGGAUCCAGUUCGCAUGUGGAAAUCUUUUCCCCCCGUGGUUCCAAACUGAUGCCAGUCUGUGUUUCACAACACACUGUGUGUGUGUGUGUGUGUGUGUGUGUGUCGGUCUCCAUGCCAGCUUCUGGCCUCUGCUCCAGUCUGAUGAUGGAUUGUGUAAUUAUUAAUAGACACCUCUGAAUCGCACACAGAAGCUCCCCGAUUCGCGUGUAUCCGUGUUAAACGACUGAGCGCGCUGAGAACGCUGCACCUAUGCAGCAUCGACUGAGUGUCGGCGUGGAUUCGGGGUGUGUGUGUGUGUGUGUGUGUGUGUGUCUGUGCGCAGUCAGUGUGACAGCCAAACCGGGCCAACAAGCACCGCAAAUAUUUAUCUACGGACCUUCUGGGGGCACCGCGAGUGACGCUUCACGCUCUCACCUCGUCUCCACGGGUGGAAAAAAAAACAUUUGAGUUUGCCCUCGGACCUCGGUUAUUACAGGACUCCCAAAAAAGCCCCGAUCAUCAUCAUAACCUACCAGCUUAAAGCGGAAUACGCCAAAAAAGGGGCAGAUGACACCUGAUGACCCUCAGCCAGUCGCGUACGAAACACGCCAUAGAACACGUGCUGGUAAAUAAAAUAUGAAAAGGACUCGUGUUUCUUUCAGCUCCUCUGGAUCACGACUGGCCAUGAAUACAAACAGUUUCAUUAGCGGCGGAUGAAAUUUGGCGGGGACGCGGACGGUAGAACAGAUGCUGGACCUCGUUCCCCGCGUGUUGUUUUCUCCUCGUGGUUUGUUCUUCAACGCGUAGGAUUAAUAAGCGGGCGGGAGAGCGGCCCGCAUCUCAUUUCCUCUCUUCCGCCGAUUCGGGGGCUUUUAACGCUCCGGUUUCGCCGCCGUGACGCUUGCAGCGCGGACGAGGAGAACAUUGUGUUAACGCGGUGGGGGGGGGCGUAAUUGUAGAUUCCACAGAUGCUGUCUGUCAUUAACUCAGAGAGAACAUCUAGUUUCCGCGAGGCACGAAAACAGUCAACAACAAAAAAAACAAAAAAACAAAAAAGGAAAAAGAGAAAGACACAAUCACGAAACGAAGAGACAUGUGCUCGUGAACGCAACACGCAACACACCGUUGACAGCAGCGGCGGUGCUCGGGUGUUCAUCAGGAAUCAGGAAACAAUUAUUACCAAAAUAUGUUAUACUAGGUUAGAAUAUGAAGAAGCUUAAUGGCGGGUCACUACUUAGUCGAGCUACUACUGAGCGAGUGGUCUCCUGGUUCUGCAAUACAAAUAAAAUGUGGACACUCCGAAAGCUGUAAAUCCAUUGACUCCCAAGAUAAACAUUUCCGACUCUGUGUCCCCCCCCGGCCCCCCCCUCCCCAAAAGCACAGGAAGUCGUUAGCCGCGGCGCUGAGGCCCGGCGGAGGGUGACGUCGGGGUGAGGCGGCACUCUGAAAGGUUAACGACCGCUCUCGGGCCAAUAAUGAGCAGCAGUGAGCAAACACCGCGGCGCCUUCAUUCGAUCCGCGGCGACGAGUUUCGGAAGGGGGGCGCGGGGCGGUUGUCUCAGUCACCAUGUAGUCACCGUGUCCGUAAUCCCGGCUGCGGAAGGUGUUCGGGUGGGGACGGGUGUCGAGUGUGCACGAAAAAUGGCCAAAGUCUUCUGGGCCGAAAUUCUUGACUCUUUGUCAAAAUUGGCUUCCUGGUCCGGCAGACAGCGCGGCCAUGCGAGUUCAACUCAAAUGUGUGUGUGUGUGUGUGUUUAGUCUAAAGUUUCCUCAGUCAGGAGUUGAGCAAUCCAUAUGCUGAAAGAGGGCCUCGUUUUUUGUGGAAAUAACCGCCUGUUGGCUAAAAGCCACAAAAGAAUCUUCAGUUUGAAUUUUUUUACGUCAUGAAUAAGUCAUCGCCAUCGCAAACCCCUGAAAAACCUGUGAUUUUUCUGACUUUAAAUCGAGAUCAUCCUAUAACUAAUCUGGUCCGAUUGCUCAGCCUUCGUUUUGAGUCGCUGUGUGUUGCUAAUUGAAUCCCCCCGCGGCUCAUUAAGAUGAAUGAACAGCUAAUUAAUCGAUCCGGUCCGCCGGCUGCAUCAGUCACUCUCUCUCUCUCCGCUUGUGCAAAUAGAGGAGCUGUGACGGGCGCCGCUGACAAUAACUUGACCUCUCUGCGGGAGGCCUAACUGUAUUCUCGCCCCCGUCGUCUCCGUCAGCACUUCGGCCGACCCCGAGUUCAACUCUGACCCCCUGUCAUCCCCGACCCCCCCCACCUGAAGACAAGCUCGCACGCUUAGAGAUGCUUCAGGAAACCGUGUGCGACCCACAGAAACAAACAAGAGUGGAAACACACACACACACACACACACAGACACACACACGGCCUCCAUGCAAGAAGUGGCUCGUUAGUGGACGGUAAUCAGCUUAGCGCUCUCCUGCGCCCACCGGCGCUAAGCUCUUUACAGACAAACCCGGUUAGCGAAGUAGCGGCUGAGCGAUGCCACGGCCCCCCGGAUCCAAUGAAACACACACACACACACACACACACACACACACACAGAUCAUGGUGGAGACGCGGCGAGAAACUCUGUGGGAGUGUCAAGACGAAUGACCUCAGGCAGCGCAAAGAUGUACGUGCCAAAGAGGUGCGGCGAGGAGGGAUGGGAGGCUGAAUUUGUAGGGGGCGACAGACGGAGAAAAGAAAAGCGGCCGGGAAACAAAGACGGAGCGAGAAGAAUGACACGAGGAGGAGGAGGAGGAGGGGGUGAAAAGAAAAAAAACAGCCCUCAGAUGAAGCAGAAAGAAAAACUUGAAUGUUUUCCAGGGAGAGAGUGUGAGGAAAGAGGAGGAGGAGGAGGAGGAAGGAAAGCAGACAAAUAAGUGUGUGUGAAAAACUCCUUCCUCCUGCUCCUCCUCCUCAGUGGCCUCAGUAACCCCAACAUGGCCGCUCAGCUCUCCCGGGUAGAGGCCGGCAUACAUCCCAUACGCACAAUCGGAGCUCUGUCGCCGGGAUCGCGCUCGUACAAGGAGCUGGACCGCUGCCUGACACGCGCACACACACACACACACACACACACACAGGAGAUAGCAGCGCUCACAGUGAGGGGAGUUCAUGUCGGUGUAACCCGUCGGCCCUUUUGGUCCCGGCUGGGGCAUCUUAACCCGCCGGAGGGAUUGCCGUGAGUUUCGGCGGCGGUAUCCGUGGAAACCGGAGGAUGAAUCCUCACCAACUUUGGGCGCCAGCUCACGUACCCUCCCCCCUCUCCCUCCCCCUCUCCCUCCCCUCCCAGCGAACAGCAGGAAAUUCACCUUUUCGUAAUCGCUUCAGGUCUCGACGGGUGAACUUUUGCACAAAAGAAGAAAAAAAAAAGAAAAAGUCAAGCUAAUCACCGCUGAGCGCUACUUCAAAGUGACACAAAUGCACCGACACGACGACAGCGUGACACGGCGAUACAUCAAUCAUUAGUUAUGCGAUAAGGACACAGCGACACAAUGCAGCAAUGAGAGCUGCGUUCAGGCUUCAGCAGGUGCCGCGCCGUCACUCGGCCGCGAGGGAGUAGGCUUAAAAAAAAUGUAUUUUUUGUCCACUGUCAUUCUGUAAUGAGUUUUAUUCAUUCAUUCCUUCAAGCAGAAAACCCUGAAAAGCGCCUUAAUUUGCGCAACGUGGAUUAUGAGAGGAAAAGAAAAAAAGGUCCGGCGUGAACGGCAAACAAAAUGUCUGCAGAGAGAAAAGACGGAAAGAGGAGGAGAAGAAAAGUGUUUGGACAGCGGGGCAGAGGGGCUUUGUUCAAAAACAGUAUAGGCAAAAGGGACAGGAGGUGUGUGUGUGUGUGUGUGUGUGUGUGUGUGCAGUCAUGGGAGGCCAGAGCCGGGGCGCGGAAGGUAACUUGGGCCAUUCGUUGAGGAGCUUUUGGCUGAUCCGCGCUUCCUGAAAGGUGAUUGGCCGGGAUGAUCCGUCUCAGCCGCACAGUUUUGUGUGUCUAUAUAUACCCACAUAGACAUAUGUUGUGUACGCGUGUGUGCUUUCAUGCACAUAAAUCACAUUUUAAUGCAACUAACGCGCUCUGAGGUCAAGCGCAAGUAUGCAGCUGGACAGACUAAAGUGUGUGUGCGUGCACGUAUGCAUGUAAAUAAGCUACUAGUCAGUCAAAACAUGAUGUUUCACCACCAUGACUGAGCUCCUGUUGAAGAGCUCUUCAGCAAGGCGCUUGAACCAGGUUUGUCAAGUGAAUGAUUUAGUUAAUCUAUGAAUGAAUAAUAAAGGCUUCGUCGUACUUAUUUACCUUGGAGGCAAAUGUACCGUUAAACAUGUCGAUUUAAAUUCGGCCAAUCAUCUAAUCCAAGUGAUCCUAAUCGAGAAUGCGUGUUUGUGUGUGUACCUUUUGCUCGUGUUUGCAGAUUGCAGACUGUUUUUUAGGAACACGUCUGAAGACGUCACCUUCACAGACCAGACGACCGGUCCAACUAACUGAUAAAAGCCUUUAGAUUCUAAUCACAACCCUCUGAAAUCUUGUUCCGGCCGGAACAGCUUGUCUUCAGCGUUCACCUUGUUGUGUCACGUUUCAGCUCAAAAACAGCAGGUGAUCAAACUUCGAUAGAUACGGUCAGUGUGUGUGUGUGUGUGUGUGGGCGAUACUGUGGAGUUGAGCGUGUGUCUGCUGCAUUAGCGGAAACGACAUGUGACCCCCAUUGGCUGCGUUGAAUUACUGGAAUCACGCACGCACACACACACGCACACACACACACACCUUGUCCUAUCAGUUGAUCUGUCCCUCUUCAGACUCCAUGUGAGGAGCUCAAGAAUGAAGCCACACACGUCUGCUGCUGUCGCACUGACCUCGUGAACGCGGCCGUCAACACCAUCGUGCUGCAACGAUCACAACAGAAAGGUCCAGGAGUGUGUGUGUGUGUGUGUGUGUGUGUGUGUGUGUGUGUAAAUGUCCUGUUGGAGAGGAGCACUGCUGCCUGGUCAAGGUCUUGGGAAGACGAGCGGCUGAAAACAAAAGCGGGCGGCUGAUAACAGGGUGAGAGGGACAAAGGGACGAGAGACGUCUUCACCGGUUAUCGCCAAGGCAACAAACGCAUGACGUCGCUUCUUAAAGAGACUUGUGAUCAAAAUCGAGCCGUGAGUCCCACAGUUCAAGGAGGGAAACUUCUGUUUAAUUUUGCAGAUGUACGCUUAGUUAUUUCAACGCGUUCUGGUGGACAGAUACGGUUGCUAUGGAGACGGAGGCCAGCUGCCGCUACUGUGAACAAAACACGGCGCCAUGGCGGCUGGACUCAUCCCAAACUCUGCCAAAACACUAACGUGAUUCGAGCAGACUAACAUUUUAAAGAUUUUCUGCAAAAUCUCAACUUUUUUUCCCCUCUCGCUUAUCCUUUGGAGGAAUUUUAGGGCACGAAAUAAAUCAUUACUGUUAAACCAUCGUGCUUAAACUCACAUUACAUGUUGCCGUACAGGCCGUUUCUCACACCACGUUAAUCUUAAGGAAUAAAUACCCACAUCAUUAUCGUCUCCCCUUCACCUCAGAUUCACCUCCUCACUUCGCACUCCCUCGGGAGUGAAUCGUCCCCUUUCAGCGAAAAGCAGCGAAAUCACUCCCCUUCCGUUCUUCUCGCCUUCCGGCGUGAACCCGCUUCAAAGUUUCAGCGCCAACGCGGCUUCGUGGAAAAAGGCCCUUUGAUGUCUGUAAUGAGGCAAGCGAGGUGGAUAUCACACGAUCCGCUUAGGAGAGGAAGAGGGUUUCCGCCCGUGUACGAGGGGAGGGGAGGGAGGGAGGGUGAGGGGGUUUCGGGCCGCUCGGUUCAGGGCGGUCGAUUACAGAUGGCGUCGGAAGGUUGAGCGCGCCGGACCGCAUGAAUACACACACACACACACACACACACAGUAGUAGGUUUAGUCUAUUCAUUGUAGAACAAAACCAGCUUCCUUAGUCGAUGGCAGAUUAGACAGUGGACCUCAGGCAGUAUCUGAAACACACACACACACACACACACACACACACGCGUACCAACAUUCCUGGCCCAUGAAGGCACAAUUCAGUCACUACUUUUCUGUUAAAUGACAUUCUUGCACGAGUUCUUGCGCCUCACUACGCGGUUGUGGGGAUUACGGUCAUCCGUUUGCGUGUUGAAAUGCACACGCUGCGGUUAGUUAGCGGAGCUGGGCGGUUUUCCAUCCGCGUCAAUCUGAUAGCACCACGACGUUUACGCUCGGCUGCUCCUUUCGGAACCUACAGUUGGCCCUUCUCCGAACAGAGGCGUCGACCUGGGCGAGCGAUUUGCCGACGAUGAACACGACACCGGCCCCUUUUAAGUCCCCCCCCCCCCCCCCCCCGAGGAACACGUCUGAUGGACUUUUGCGCUACGGGCCGAGGUUGCUUCAUCCAUCACCGGAUGCAAAUUC
ensembl:lncRNA